GAGUGACCUCAACUCCCGCUGGCUUUGCCCCAGCUGGGCAUGAGAGCACGGGAAAGACUCGUGUUUGUCGGGAAAGUCUGGUGUUUUUCAUCCCCCUCCUCACAACCUCCAGGUUUCAGGUGUUCCGGCGCUGCCGCCCGGUGGCCAUCGCUGGUACCGCACCAGCCCCGCGCCCGGCCGGAACCCCCGCGGAUCCCGGGAAAUCGCCGCGGAUCCCGGGAAAAAUUUUGGGAAUCCCCAACUCUGCGGAAUCAUCGGGGACCCGGGGCAUGCCCCGCUCACAUCAGAGCACAAGAAAGCGCAAUUAAACAGAACUGUUCAAAGUUUGUCCCUAAGACUGCCCUAAUGGCAUAAAAAAUUUUAAAAGUAUGGGGAGAGAGGCACAAAUGAGGACACACAACCCCAUUCCUGCCUCCAGAACUCUUUGCGCACCUCCCAUGGGAAGGUUUGGAGGCUGCACAGGACUGGUCUCCCUGAAGAGCCAGGUCUGAGUGCCACAGGAAGAAGAAGAAGAUAAUCUGCUCUUGUUAGGACAUGACCUCCAGGAUUUGUCUUCACAUACAGACAAAGAAAUAUUUUAGACACCAAUUCUGCUGCCCACUUCUUUGCCUUUCUUUAUUUUUUUAACCUUUAUCAAUAUAUUCUGUCCUGAUAUUUCCAACCAA